CUAAAAGGUUGAAGUUAAAUUAGAACAAACACAUGUGUUGUCAGUCAAAUGUAUACAAAACACUUCACUUAAUUUUGAAGCUAACUAUAGGCAGAGUCAUCUAGGGUAUUUCCCAAACUUAGAUAUUCAAUACAUUACAUCAUGCAACAAGUUAGAAAACCUUUUUGGGAGUAUUACACAGGUGGGGGCUGCAUUAUGGAGGGAAAAAAUGGCUAUUUAACUGAAGGAGAAAGAGUAUGACGUUGUCAUUCAUUCAUUCAUUCAUCUACUCUUACUCUGCCUGCUGUCACCACACAUCUGAAAGGUAAACAGGGACAUAUGCUGUAGCCACUAAUACAUUUGGUAAGAUUAAUUAUUUACUGACUAUUUUUUGCAUUCUGUAAC